CCCAGCAAUGAAUUGCUGGGUUAGGAUCAGCUGUCCCUCCGGGACA
rfam:Caldithrix sp. RBG_13_44_9 RBG_13_scaffold_715, whole genome shotgun sequence.